rnacentral:lncRNA from 1 species
UGUUAACAACGAGUAUUAGAUUAUGGGGCAACUGAGUGAGCUGAAAAGAGUGCUAAAACAGUGUGUCGUGGCCCUGUGUGGCCUUUUUCUUCCUUUUCUUUUUUAUGCCGCCUGAUACAAUUUUGCCUCUAGAAACAUAACUGAAUCUUGUCUGUAAAACACCUGUUAGAUAAGAAGUUUGUCAUCAUGCUCUGAAGUAUAUACUUUUUCUAAGGUUUUGAAAUCUUGAUGUGUUCGUUGAAGGCACAAGAUUAAAAAAGAGUGCUUCAUCAGUUCUACUUUAGGGUGUAUGUUUGGAGCACAACUUUUCCAGUCAUUCUCCAUCGCGCUAUCAUGUUGAAAAGAUAUGUUCGAAAGUAAGGUUGCCACUAAUUUGUACCUUAGGCCCCUCUAGGCAUGUAGCCAGUGUUAAAACAGGCCAGCUGGAUCUCGUGCCUUUUCUAGAAGACUACCUUCCUUAGUUUCAAGAGGUGUAAAGUUGAGUAAACACAAUUAGUGUUUUGUUGACACAGCUUCUAGUUUUGCCUUAGUCACAUGUCUUGAUAGUGGUGAGAGUUUAUUAAUUCUCUUGGUCUUUCAGUAUAAGCACAUGGCAAGCUUUCUGUGCCUUUAGGUGUUUUUAUUACGCCCAUAUGAGGCAAUUACAAAAUGUGUGUCACGAAGUGAUGUGAUAUUUUCAACGAAAAGCUGUGAUAGUCCUACUCUUGUAAAUAACAGUGCUCAAG